AUUGAACGCUGGCGGCAUGCCUUACACAUGCAAGUCGAACGGUAACGGGCCUUCGGGUGCCGACGAGUGGCGAACGGGUGAGUAAUGUAUCGGAACGUACCUUUCAGUGGGGGAUAACGUAGCGAAAGUUACGCUAAUACCGCAUAUUCUGUGAGCAGGAAAGCAGGGGAUCGCAAGACCUUGCGCUGAUUGAGCGGCCGAUAUCAGAUUAGCUAGUUGGUGAGGUAAAGGCUCACCAAGGCGACGAUCUGUAGCGGGUCUGUGAGGAUGAUCCGCCACACUGGAACUGAGACACGGUCCAGACUCCUACGGGAGGCAGCAGUGGGGAAUUUUGGACAAUGGGGGCAACCCUGAUCCAGCCAUGCCGCGUGAGUGAAGAAGGCCUUCGGGUUGUAAAGCUCUUUCGGCCGGGAAGAAAUCGUAUCAGCUAAUACCUGGUGCGGAUGACGGUACCGGCAUAAGAAGCACCGGCUAACUACGUGCCAGCCGCCGCCGAAGAC
rnacentral:rRNA from 1 species